rnacentral:rRNA from 1 species
GGGGAAUAUUGCACAAUGGGCGCAAGCCUGAUGCAGCCAUGCCGCGUGUAUGAAGAAGGCCUUCGGGUUGUAAAGUACUUUCAGCGGGGAGGAAGGCGAUACGGUUAAUAACCGCGUCGAUUGACGUUACCCGCAGAAGAAGCACCGGCUAACUCCGUGCCAGCAGCCGCGGUAAUACGGAGGGUGCAAGCGUUAAUCGGAAUUACUGGGCGUAAAGCGCACGCAGGCGGUCCGUCAAGUCGGAUGUGAAAUCCCCGGGCUCAACCUGGGAACUGCAUCCGAAACUGGCAGGCUUGAGUCUUGUAGAGGGGGGUAGAAUUCCAGGUGUAGCGGUGAAAUGCGUAGAGAUCUGGAGGAAUACCGGUGGCGAAGGCGGCCCCCUGGACAAAGACUGACGCUCAGGUGCGAAAGCGUGGGGAGCAAAC